CCUACGGGAGGCAGCAGUGGGGAAUAUUGGACAAUGGGCGCAAGCCUGAUCCAGCAAUGCCGCGUGAGUGAUGAAGGCCUUAGGGUUGUAAAGCUCUUUUACCAGGGAUGAUAAUGACAGUACCUGGAGAAUAAGCUCCGGCUAACUCCGUGCCAGCAGCCGCGGUAAUACGGAGGGAGCUAGCGUUGUUCGGAAUUACUGGGCGUAAAGCGUACGUAGGCGGUUAUUCAAGUCAGAGGUGAAAGCCCGGGGCUCAACCCCGGAACUGCCUUUGAAACUAGGUAGCUAGAAUCUUGGAGAGGUCAGUGGAAUUCCGAGUGUAGAGGUGAAAUUCGUAGAUAUUCGGAAGAACACCAGUGGCGAAGGCGACUGACUGGACAAGUAUUGACGCUGAGGUACGAAAGCGUGGGGAGCAAACAGGAUUAGAUACCCUGGUAGUCCACGCCGUAAACGAUGAUAACUAGCUGUCCGGUCACUUGGUGACUGGGUGGCGCAGCUACGCAUAUUAUCCGCCGUGGGUGGUACGGUCGCGAGAAGUUAAACUACAAAUAGAAGUUAAGUACGGUCGUUGAGUACGUUGCCGAACGGCCGACCGACCGAGGGGAGGGUUAGGG
rnacentral:rRNA from 1 species